rnacentral:rRNA from 1 species
GACGAACGCUGGCGGCGUGCUUAACACAUGCAAGUCGAACGGAAAGGCCCUGCUUUUGUGGGGUGCUCGAGUGGCGAACGGGUGAGUAACACGUGAGUAACCUGCCCUUGACUUUGGGAUAACUUCAGGAAACUGGGGCUAAUACCGGAUAGGAGCUCCUGCUGCAUGGUGGGGGUUGGAAAGUUUCGGCGGUUGGGGAUGGACUCGCGGCUUAUCAGCUUGUUGGUGGGGUAGUGGCUUACCAAGGCUUUGACGGGUAGCCGGCCUGAGAGGGUGACCGGCCACAGUGGGACUGAGAAACGGCCCAGACUCCUACGGGAGGCAGCAGUGGGGAAGAUUGCACAAUGGGCGGAUGCCGAAUGCAGCAACGCCGGGUGCGGGAUGACGGCCUUCGGGUUGUAAACCGCUUUCGCCUGUGACGAAGCGUGAGUGACGGUAAUGGGUAAAGAAGCACCGGCUAACUACGUG